UCCAGGCGGGGAACUUCACGCGUUAGCUGCGGUACUAAAGAGGUUUACUUCCCCAACACCUAGUUGACAUCGUUUAGGGCGUGGACUACCAGGGUAUCUAAUCCUGUUUGCUACCCACGCUUUCGUGCAUGAGCGUCAGUGUUGACCCAGGGGGCUGCCUUCGCCAUCGGUGUUCCUCCACAUCUCUACGCAUUUCACUGCUACACGUGGAAUUCCACCCCCCUCUGCCACACUCAAGUCUUGCAGUCACAAACGCAGUUCCCAGGUUAAGCCCGGGGAUUUCACAUCUGACUUACAAAACCGCCUGCGCACGCUUUACGCCCAGUAAUUCCGAUUAACGCUCGCACCCUACGUAUUACCGCGGCUGCUGGCACGUAGUUAGCCGGUGCUUCUUCUUCAGGUACCGUCAUUGAUACAGGGUAUUAGCCCACACCAUUUCUUUCCUGCCGAAAGAGCUUUACAACCCGAAGGCCUUCUUCACUCACGCGGAAUGGCUGGAUCAGGGUUGCCCCCAUUGUCCAAAAUUCCCCACUGCUGCCUCCCGUA
rnacentral:rRNA from 1 species